GCCACCAGCGGGGAGGAAGCUUGAAUGUUGAGGCGGGGCGUAGGCCUACAGUACGAACGAGCAGUGCUGGUUUGUGUUUACUUACUGCGCUAGCUCGGGCUGUUCUAUGGUGGUUUCGUUUUAUUCUGAUUUGGGGAUUUAUGUGUUUGGUUCUAAGAAUUUUAUUUGGAGAGAUUGUCAUCUCGAAAAGCUAAGGAGUGUCCCAUGUUUCUCUGUGUCUCAUCCGGCUGGACCCUGUGAGAGCUGCUACUGCUGGAAUGGAUGAGAAAUACGACGGAGUUCCCCUCUCUCCGGAUGGUGUCGCGCCAAUUGGAUUUGAAAUGACCAGUGUUCAGGAAGGUGGGAUAAUUUUUUGUUUUCAAUUAUGUAAAAUGUACAUGAUUUGAUUUGAUUCUCCAUUCCUUUACGUGACAGGGUGCUCUCCAUUGGUGAAGAAGUUUCUUCUCUGUCAUUCCGUUUGUCUUUUUAUCCUUCCAUUUGUCCGUCCAUAUUAUAUGUCUGUCUGUCUGUUUAUAUUUUGUCUCUUUGAAUGUCUCAUUCUUGCCACCCCCCCCUCCACCCCUCUGCCUGUGACACCUCUAGUCUUAGGCACUUUAUACAACCUGUUCGUCUUGCAAGUGCCGUAAAACCUUUACUAAAACUUACAACAAAAUAUUGUUCAAAUAAUUAAAAAGAGAAACCUCGUGGUUUUGUGCAAUGAAGUGGAGGGAACUGACAGUUGUCAUUAUAUUCAUGUUAAAUGUGCAUGGUGACAUGAUGAAAUAUUGUGACUGAGUGAAUGCAUUUGUGGUAAGCAGUGGGAAUGAAGAGCAAUUUUCACAAAUUUUUGCUUGGGUUUUCCUUUUUCCUUUGGAAUUCUGUGAGUCAUGUUGCUCUAUUGCUGCUUAUUGUUUUUGACAUGGGUCUACCAUUGGAUACAAAUGAGCUGUGAUUUUAUGGGAGCACCAUCACCUAUGUAUGUUUCUUUUUGCAGAGGUUUACAGGCUGUCCUGUGUGCAUGCACAAUAUGUUGUCACCUGGCAACGUGCCAUAUCCACCGAGGGAGCGCUCUUGCUUUGUAUCACUCGUAUGAAAAGAUAAUUAAUUAUUCUUUAAGUAGUAGCAACUGGUGAAUCAUUAAUUUGUGUUCAUUUUAGUUUAGUUGAAAGUGGUGAUGAAUUAGAAAUGAUUGUUUUUCUUUGUUAUAAUGGACAAGAGAAGCCUUCUGAAAUCAAUUUUUAAUUAAAAGAAGAUUCUCCAUAGCUAAAAGAGCUGAAAAAAAAA